AGAGUUUGAUCCUGGCUCAGGACGAACGCUGGCGGCGUGGAUUAGGCAUGCAAGUCGAACGGUAGAGAGAUUUCGGUCUCUUGAGAGUGGCGAACGGGUGAGUAACACGUAGGUUAUCUACCCUCAAAUUGGGGACAACCCAGGGAAACUUGGGCUAAUACCGAAUGAGUGCAUCAGUGAUGGUGCAUAAAAGAUGGCGUAAGCUGUUGUUUGAGGAUGAGCCUGCGCUCUAUUAGUUAGUUGGUGAGGUAACGGCUCACCAAGGCGAUGAUAGAUAGGCGGCCUUAACGGGUGGUCGCCCACACUGGGAUUGAGAUACGGCCCAGACUCCUACGGGAGGCAGCAGUCGAGAAUAGUCUACAAUGGACGAAAGUCUGAUAGUGCGACGCCGCGUGAACGAAGAAUCCCUUCGGGGUGUAAAGUUCUUUUAUAUGUGAGCAAUGCUUCCUAGGUGAAUAGUUUAGGGAGAGAGAUAUUAGCAUAUGAAUAAGCAACGGCUAACUCCGUGCCAGCAGCCGCGGUAACACGGGGGUUGCUAGCGUUGUCCGGAAUUACUAGGCGUAAAGGGCAGGUAGGCGGAUAGAUAAGUUUGAUGUUAAAGGCGACGGCUUACCCGUCGUAAGGCAUUAGAUACUGUUUAUCUGGAAUGCGGUUGGGGAAGACAGAAUUCCUGGUGUAGCGGUGGAAUGCGCAGAGAUCAGGAGGAAUACCAAAGGCGAAGGCAGUCUUCUAAGCCGUUAUUGACGCUAAACUGCGAAGGUGUGGGUAUCAAACAGGAUUAGAUACCCUGGUAGUCCACACAGUAAACGAUAAUCACUAGGUGUCGGGUUCGAAGAGGAUUCGGUGCCGUAGCUAACGCGAUAAGUGAUUCGCCUGGGGAGUACGAUCGCAAGGUUGAAACUCAAAGGAAUUGACGGGGGCCCGCACAAGCGGUGGAGCAUGU
rnacentral:rRNA from 1 species